GGCCGAUUGCGUAGGCAGCUGUCCAGACCCUGAUUGACGCUGAUGCACGAAAGCGUGGGGAUCGAACGGGAUUAGAUACCCCGGUAGUCCACGCCGUAAACGAUGAUAACUGGCUAUUGGUCCGUAUUGGGUCAGUGGCUGCGCGAAAGCAUUAAGUUAUCCACCUGGGGAGUACNGCCGCNAGGCU
rnacentral:rRNA from 1 species